rnacentral:sRNA from 1 species
UGUUCUAAUCAGGCUUCAUCAUGAUGUACUUUUGGUUACUCUUAACUGUUUCACUGGCGUCUGCAGCCAAUCUUGAAAAGCUGACAAAAAGCUCCCCAGUAAUUACGGCAGUGCUAAACAAAAUCAAUGCGUUAGAAAAAAACAGAGGAGACGAUACCCCGAGAUCAUUCGUCAGUGUAAUUGAUUCUAAAAAAGAGAGAUCAGGAAUUGACUUCGUUUGGGAGAUCACUGUCAAAGUGGACAACACUAUUCGAUAUGUGAAUUGUGUGGUUACAGUGAUAGAGAAAAGAAAGUUUCUUAAAGAACAAUUUAUUGUUACAAACGUUGUGUGCACAUAGUCACGUGGCAAGCAUGCCAGACCAAGAAAUGGUAAAUAAAGUUUCAGACAAGUUCGCAUGCAUUCAGUCACAGUUCAGUUCAUAAAUGAAAGAAAAAUAAAAUACAGAAAUUUU